UCAGCCUCCUGAGUGCUGGGAUUACAGGCGUGCGCCACUGUGCCCAGCGCCCUGUUUGUUUUUAUACAGAUCAAACGGUACAUUGGAGAUCCAACUUCUUCACUUUAAACCAUUUCUGAAAAAGCACUUGUCUGGGGAAUAUGAGGCGACUUGGACCCUCUAAUGGGGAUGUGCAGGCUAGGACUGGGGAGGGACAGGUGGCCGGUUAUCGAGGAGGAAAAUGUUCCUUUCCAUCUUUGGGUUCCUGGCUUGUCUGCUUGCUGCUCACCGGGGCGGGGCACUUCUUUUCGUUUCUAACUUGAGGCAGUACACGUGCAGACACCGUCCCUUUGCGUCUCUUUCAUGGUAGUAAUAGUAGCAUUAGCUACCAUGCAGCUGCUGCCCAGCGAUUCUGCCUCAGUCAUGUUUCCACAUGACAAAAACAGGAGGGAGGAAAAACCAACCGGCACACGUCGCCUGGCCAGCUGCCUGCGCAUGCCAGGGAAGGGCUGGCUCCGAGAUGUUGGCAUGAAGCAAGAGGAGGCGCUUUUGUUCUUACUUUCAUCUGUCAUGACCAGAGCUGGCCAAACAACACAGGCCACUGUGAAUGAAGGGCACGUACGCACCAGGAAGCAGACAGCAGUGAGGGUGGGUGGGAAGCUGUUGCUCUAAAGAAGAAUGGUGUAGGGAGCCCCUGUGUAGUUCUAGCAGCUGCCUCUCAGCUCACAUGCAGUCCCUGGUGGCUCGGCACAUGCGUGCCAAGUCUGAGGACCUGCUCGAGGUGACCCUGAAGUUAAACAAUGUAAGACAACGCCUUGGAACAGAGCCCUGUACACAGAAGGGUUUACUUGUUUCUGCUGAAGCGUGAUGCCUGUUCUCCCAAGUAAUACUCGUCCUUGCUGCCAACCCAUCCACUCGCUGGCGUCAGACUGACCCACCAGAACACGUACUGAAGAAAGCAAUGCAAAGAGCCAGAAAAUGUGUUUGUCUGAGAGGACGAGGCCGAAACUUGUGUCCAAUGACUCAAGAGGAGGAAAUGACAUCGCCAUCAGCAAAGACCUUAAAGCUGCACCUUCCUCACAGGGUGCCUGCCACACCUAGCCAUGAAGAUUUGAUUCCUGGCUUGGUUCUUCCUAACACAAAACAACAGAGUUGCUUGGUCUCAACCCUGAGGUUCCAGCUCUCUUCCAUGUUAAAAAAGCCUAAAAGAGAGGUGUCUUUUGUUUGUUUUUUUUUUAACCUAUUUUUAUUUUAUUUUAUUUUACUUAUUUUUUUGGUAC